AGAACUCCCUCGUGUACGUGUUUAACCUAGAGUCUUUGGGCCCAAAGAGAGGUGUCCCUUCUCCGUCUCCGCCGCCCUGCGCGUCUCCUCAUUGCGCCCUGCGCGUCUCUGCCGCUGUGCCCUGUGCAUCUUCGCCGCUGUGCCCUGUGCAUCUUCGCCGCUGUGCCCUACGCAUCUUCGCUGCUGCGCCCUGCGCGUCUCCGCCGCUGCGCUCUGCGCGUCUCCGCCGCUGCGCCCUGUGCGUCUCCGCCGUUGCGCCCCUCGCGUCUCCUUCGCUGCCGCAUCCAGUCUACGCCACUGCGCCCCGUCUCUACCGCCGCGCCCCGUAUCAUCUGCCGCUUCCCUCUCCGCAGCGAAAUCGGAGGCAGUGAUCGUCGUCUGCAGUUCUUUCUUCUUUUCCUACAAGAAUAGAGGAGAUAAAGAAGGGUGACUACUGUGUAUACAAAGAUGAGAUUUUUUGCAUGCCGCAGUUCUCCCAUUUUUCACAAGCCACAGUUCUCCUCUUUUCAGUACUGCAUCGAAGUCACCAUUCAUCUUCUUUUAGAUCCUUUCACCAGUGAUGACAUCUUCAUUAGAACAAUGAAUGAAAGAGUUCAAUGAAGCAUGAAGGCUUUCUAAGGAAAUCAGUGUUAUGCUUUCUGAAAGGGCUCUUUGCCUUCAUCUGGGCUUGAGACCCAAUGCCAAUUGACUGCAAUGAGGAGGAAGAUAACAAUUCUCCAUACCAGACUAGAGAACUUGGAGUCGCUUCUUUCAAAGCUUCCUAGCUUAUAGCCAAUGUGAUAGGUACUUGGAUUUUUGUGAAGCAAUACGACAGUUGAAGAUGGUCUGCCUAGUUAGCUUUUAUUUUAUAAGACUGUUCUAAAACUUAAUAUUUUGAGUGUAGUGUGUUGUUAGUUUUGGAUGUAAAGAACUUGUCGUUAGUUUACGUUUGUAACUUUGACUCAAAUAUUUGUUGAUGAAUUUAGAUUAUCUAUUUGCACUUUAAA